AGUGAACGCUGGCGGCGUGCCUAAUACAUGCAAGUCGAACGAACGAAUAAGAGCUUGCUCUUAUAAGUUAGUGGCGCACGGGUGAGUAAUAUAUAUCUAAUCUGCCUCUUAGUAGCGGAUAACAGUCGGAAACGAUUGCUAAUACUCUAUAUUACUGCUUUACAUACGUAAAGUAGAGAAAGUUUUUCGCUAAGAGAUGAGGCUAUACUGUAUCAGCUAGUUGGUAAGGUAACGGCUUACCAAGGCUAUGACGCAUAACUGGUCUGAGAGGAUGAUCAGUCAAAUUGGAACUGAGACACGGUCCAAACACCUACGGGAGGCAGCAGUAGGGAAUAGUGCGAAAUGGGGGAAACCCUGACGCAGCAACGCCGCGUGGAGGAUUACACCUUUCGGAGCGUAAACGCCUUUUAUCGGGAAAGAAUAAUGACGGUACCCGAUGAAUAAGCACCGGCUAACUCCGUG
rnacentral:rRNA from 1 species